UUGCCCUAGUAACGGCGAGUGAAGCGGCAACAGCUCAAAUUUGAAAUCUGGCGUCUUUGGCGUCCGAGUUGUAAUUUGCAGAGGGCGCUUUGGCAUUGGCAGCGGUCCAAGUUCCUUGGAACAGGACGUCACAGAGGGUGAGAAUCCCGUACGUGGUCGCUAGCCUUUACCGUGUAAAGCCCCUUCGACGAGUCGAGUUGUUUGGGAAUGCAGCUCUAAAUGGGAGGUAAAUUUCUUCUAAAGCUAAAUACUGGCCAGAGACCGAUAGCGCACAAGUAGAGUGAUCGAAAGAUGAAAAGCACUUUGGAAAGAGAGUUAAAAAGCACGUGAAAUUGUUGAAAGGGAAGCGCUUGCAGCCAGACUUGCCUGUAGUUGCUCAUCCGGGUUUUUACCCGGUGCACUCUUCUAUAGGCAGGCCAGCAUCAGUUUGGGCGGUUGGAUAAAGGUCUCUGUCACGUACCUCCUCUCGGGGAGAACUUAUAGGGGAGACGUAAUGCAACCAGCCUGGACUGAGGUCCGCGCAUCUGCUAGGAUGCUGGCGUAAUGGCUGUAAGCGGCCCGUCUUGAAACACGGACCAAGGAGUCUAACAUCUAUGCGAGUGUUUGGGUGUCAAGCCCGAGCGCGUAAUGAAAGUGAACGGAGGUGGGAACCUUUCGGGGUGCACCAUCGACCGAUCCUGAUGUCUUCGGAUGGAUUUGAGUAAGAGCAUAGCUGUUGGGACCCGAAAGAUGGUGAACUAUGCUUGAAUAGGGUGAAGCCAGAGGAAACU
rnacentral:rRNA from 2 species